rnacentral:rRNA from 1 species
CGCGAACGUUGGCGGCGUGCCUAACACAUGCAAGUCGUGGGGCAGCAGGCUACUGUCUUUUGGCAGUAGUGCUGGCGACCGGCAAACGGGUGAGUAACACGUAGCUUACCUACCCAUAGGUUGGGGAUAACAUCCCGAAAGGGGUGCUAAUACCCAAUAAUGAGGAGACUCCAAAGCCCUUAUGGGUGCCUAUGGAUGGGGCUGCGUCCCAUCAGCUAGUUGGUGAGGUAAUGGCUCACCAAGGCUACGACGGGUAACCGGUCUGAGAGGAUGACCGGUCACAGUGGGACUGAGACACGGCCCGCACCCCUACGGGGGGCAGCAGUGGGGAAUAUUGGGCAAUGGCCGAAAGGCUGACCCAGCAACGCCGCGUGGUGGAUGAAGCCCUUCGGGGUGUAAACACCUUUUCUGGGGGAAGAUAAUGACGGUACCCCAGGAAUAAGGGACGGCUAACUACGUGCCAGCAGCCGCGGUAAUACGUAG